GACAACCCUUCUGGGGACCUUGGUACAGGCAGGCCGGGGAAUCCCCUCUUUUAUCCACAGGCGCGCUGGCUUCCAGCCGCCGGGGCUCCAGCGGAGUCCGCUGCAAUACAGCGUCGUCGGCAAUGCCGGCGACCACCCUUCUGGGGGCCUUGGUACAGGCAGGCCGGGGAAUCCCCUCUUUUAUUCGGCGC
rnacentral:ncRNA from 1 species